rnacentral:rRNA from 1 species
UACGGAGGAUCCAAGCGUUAUCCGGAUUUAUUGGGUUUAAAGGGUGCGUAGGCGGCUUAUUAAGUCAGGCGUGAAAGCCCCGGGCUCAACCUGGGAACCGCGCUUGAGACUGGCACGCUCGAGUUCGGGAGAGGUGAGUGGAAUUCCCAGUGUAGAGGUGAAAUUCGUAGAUAUUGGGAAGAACACCGGUGGCGAAGGCGGCUCACUGGCUCAUAUCUGACGCUCAGGCGCGACAGCGUGGGGAUCAAACAGG